CCCCCGGGCCCCCCGCUCGGCCCCACGACAUCCCCCGCUCCAGAGGCCUGUCAACACACACACAAACACCACUGUUAUUACACACACCUUCAAGAAAUUCACCACGUACGUGUGUCAAAGAUAUAGUCAUCAUACAAAAAAACGUUGACGAGACAUCUGUUUUUCCAAUUUUAUCGAUUUUGAAGACAACUCAACUAUUUAUUUAUUCUCAUAAAAUUCAACAAUAUGCUAGGGCUGAUGACCCCAUUCUAAGACAAAGUCUUCAGUUCCAAAAAUGAAGCAAUCAACCAAUUUGAAAGUGACUUCCUUAAAAAAGACAUGAAUAAGAAAUCGAGAGGAGAGAGAGAGAGAGAGAGAGAGUGAGUGUGUGUGUGUUUACAUGCGGAGAGAGAGCUGAGCUUUACCUUUCCUGAGGUGGGGGUGACAGGGGGAGUUUCGUCCAUUGUGG